rnacentral:lncRNA from 1 species
AGUCAGUGUUCUGAGCUCUUUACCAGCAUCUCCUCAUCUAAUCCCCAGGGACUCUGGCAAGAGGCGCUGCCUUGCCUAUGAGGAAGCUGAAGCACAGAGAGAUUAAGGCACUGGUGGGGACCGGAGAGAUGUCUCAGAGGCUAAGCCUCUCCUGUCCUUGUUGAGGACCUGAAUUCAGUUGCCAGCAGCUCACAACCAGCUGGAACUCCAGCUCCGGGGGAUCUGACACCCUCUUCUGCCCUUCUAGAACUACCAUAUUCAUGUGCACACACUCAUAUACAAAUCACUUAAAAUACAAAUAAACAUU